ensembl:lncRNA
AUAAUGACUUUUUCUACGAGCGAGAGUGGAACUUGCUCACUGUCCUUUCUUGCCAGUAAUAAAUUCUUCUUAGCCAAGAACAGAGCAAGAUGUUGAGCAAACAUGUUGAACCUCAAGGUCAGCCUUUUAGAACACUCUGAUUCGGAUGUGAAGCUAAACGUUUCUAGUGCGAGGACGAACUGUACAGUCAUGGGUUUAUGAUCAGGUUCCUGAACCGGUCAGUUGUUAGUCAAACACUCACCUGCCUAAUAGCCAAAGACAUUUCCUGUUUUCCAUCAACACUAAAGCCAUAGAUCAAGCCUUUGAUUUUCCUCCUGAAAUAGACUCUUUUGAAUCUUUUACUUGAAAAGUAUAUUUCACGCUGCUGCUCCCCUAUCUGAUGGUGCGGGGCGAGUAAUGUGUUCAAAAGAAGCGCUUCGGGACGACGAGACAAACCCUCCGCUUUCUAAAAAAACAUACUGGACGGAUCAAACUUGUAGAGAUUUAGUACACUAAUACCAAUCAGAACUGAUGCAUCUAUAGAGUCUAAGAUAGCUGGUUUUUAUUACAAUCUAUACUAUAUUUACUCCAAAUUUUAUUUUUAUCUGUAACGUAGAAAUACUCACUGCUGGUACAGUUGUACUCAAUCUAUUUUUUUGUUUUUUGUAACGGGUUUUCAUGACUAUAUGUAUCCCAUUAGCAUCCGUCUCCAAGAGGCAGCCUCUGGAAAGGUUUGUCUGGAAUGCAGUUUGGAUUCCUUUUGUUGUGGGUCUGCAGAGCAGGAUGCUGUAGCUUUACACAUGACUGAAAACGGCAAAAUCUCAUUUGUGUGUAGCAGUGGUUUUAUUUAUUCCUGCUGACUUCUGCUAAAGUUUAGUGAAAGUACUAGAAUACUUUCUUCACUUCAAAAUAUCAUUUUACUGCAAACAUGUGAAGCCUUCGUUUGUUCAUAAACAUUCCACUUUUUUUUUUUUCUUCAGUUGAUAUAUAAAAUUGGCAAAAAAAAAAAAAGAAUCCCCUCCUCCCAAAAAGUUAGAAAAUUUAGCACCGACAUAUGAAAUAUGUAAAGUUUAUAAUGGAAACACUCACCUGAAGUUCUUCAUUUGUUACACUUGUUUGUAUUUUUCACUAAAGACUGUCAUUGCGCCGUGCGGAAUGACACAGAUUUUGUUUUGUUUUUUAAUUAUUCUGGAGUAGCGUACUCGUGUAGAACUAAUCUCCGUUUUUCUGAUGAUGAAUACGUGCAGGAACACAGCGGUCUUUUGAUGGAAGACUUCGUUCAGAGUUUAGAGUUGAAACGUCUUCUAUGUGCCAUUGUAGAAAUGAGGGAUUAUCACUGAGUCUGCUUGUUUGAUACAAGUGUGUGUGUGUGUGUGUGUGUGUGUGAGGGGUAUAUUAGGUCUCUGUUAUUUAAUUUCUGUUUUUAGACUACCUGUAUCUCGGAGAAUGUUUAUAAAGUUUGACACUCAGAUCCGUCAGUGUAGAAAUAAAAGUAGAUUUUUUUUUCUUUGUUUUUAUCACUUUUGGUAUUUUGUCUGGAAGACAAACAGCUUUUUUGUACUUACCUCUCUUCCAAAUAAAUAUAUAAUACCUACU